rnacentral:rRNA from 1 species
GAUGAACGCUAGCUACAGGCUUAACACAUGCAAGUCGAGGGGCAGCAUGAGACCGGUAACGGUCUUGAUGGCGACCGGCAAAACGGGUGAGUAACGCGUAUGCAACCUACCCUGUACAGGGGGAUAACCCGGAGAAAUUCGGACUAAUAUCCCGUAAUAAUAUCCGGAGGCAUCUUUGGAUAUUUAAAGUUCCGACGGUAUAGGAUGGGCAUGCGUCCCAUUAGCUAGUUGGUGAGGUAACGGCUCACCAAGGCAUCGAUGGGUAUGGGGUCUUAAAGGAUGGUCCCACACACUGGCACUGAGACACGGGCCAGACUCCUACGGGAGGCAGCAGUGAGGAAUAUUGGUCAAUGGGUGAGAGCCUGAACCAGCCAUCCCGCGUGCAGGAUGACGGUCCUAGUGAUUGUAAACUGCUUUUCAUUGAGAUGAAUAAGAAUUACGUGUAGUUCGAUGACGUAUUAUAGGAAUAAGCAUCGGCUUAACUCCGUGACCA